rnacentral:rRNA from 1 species
GUGGGGAAUCUUGCGCAAUGGGGGAAACCCUGACGCAGCAACGCCGCGUGAGCGAUGAAGGCCUUCGGGUCGUAAAGCUCUGUUAGACGGAACGAAUUUUCUCCGGUCAAAUAAAUUGGAGAAGUGACGGUACUGUCAGAGGAAGCACCGGCAAACUCCGUGCCAGCAGCCGCGGUAAUACGGAGGGUGCAAGCGUUGUUCGGAAUCAUUGGGCGUAAAGAGCGUGUAGGUGGUUAGAUAAGUCAGAUGUGAAAUCCCUCGGCUCAACCGAGGAAGUGCACCUGAAACUGUCUAGCUUGAGUACGGGAGGGGAAUGGCGGAAUUCCCAGUGUAGAGGUGAAAUUCAUAGAUAUUGGGAGGAACACCGGUGGCGAAGGCGGCCUUCUAGCCCGAUACUGACACUGAGACGCGAAAGCGUGGGGAGCAAACAGGAUUAGAUACCCUAGUAGUCC